rnacentral:lncRNA from 1 species
ACUCAAAUCUGCCCUUCGUUUUCUGAAAUUUCCGUUGUUUGGUUAUAUUUCCGUUAAGGGCUGCUACUUGGUUAAUAGAGGAAUCGACAAUCCGACCGUUGGAUUGUCACCAAACUUUGAUACGUUAUAGUACGUACUAUUUGAGGAUAUUAGAAACUUAUGGAUUGGAUAUCCGACGUACGGAUCUUCCCGAAUAGGAUAUGUAAGUUACUUGUUCUAUUGAUAAGAAUUAUGAGACGUGAUUUGAUAAUUGUUUUGGGCGCCGAUCGUUUGUGACACCUCGAUAUUCAUGCUGGGGAGUUGUAGCGCGGACCUUAGGUGAGUGGGUUUUUUUCCUUUUUAUAGUGUGUGUAUAUAUAUACACACACCUUACUGUUUUCCAUGAAUGUUUUAAAUUGAUUAUACAUAGCAUGCCAUGAUUUAAAUGUGUUAUAUUUAAAUAUUGCAUUGUGAUGAGAUUUGUGGUUAUGCCAAAUGAUCCUAUGGAGGCGCAGGUAAGUUCAGGUGAGUUAUUUUGUGAUUGAAAUGGUUGAAUUAUAUGAGUAAGCAUAUAUUCAUUUAGAGCUCAUCAUUGUUGCACCCUGGUGUUAGUGCUCCUGCCCCGGGCCAGGGCACAGCCUUCAUGUGAUGUUCACCUCCCGCAUCGCACACUCGCCUUAGAUCCAAGUUAGGUGCUUGCCUGUCAUAUAGGUCGCAUUAGGCGACUCCGACUCGUAGGUGACCCGCGUAUAGCACUAGAUUUCACGUAAUCGUAGCACUAGAGCAUACACAUUUACACCCAGCAUGUCAUACAGGUCACACUAUGUGACUCCGACUCGUGAGCUAGCAUAGACUGAUGAGCAAUAGAUCUAGUUGUACAUGUCACAUUAGGUAACUCUGACAUGCAUGCUAGUUUAGACAGAUUUCACACCUGACUUACAUUUAUUAUUGCUGAGAUAUUGUAGCAUGGCAUGCUUCUGUUUUCACUGCACUUGGGCAUUCAUUUUUGUACUUACGUAGUAUUAUUAUUUUCUGGAAAUUAUAUAGGUUUUACGGCGAGGAAUUAUAACGUUUUCAAAAGGUUUUUAUUAAAACUUUAUUUUCAGGACCACUCACCCUUGUUUUUCGCCCCUCCAGGUUCUAGUAGCAGAGUUUUCAUAACGACGAGGAUUAUUGGAAAAUCUUGGGGUAGACGAUUACCAUCUAUGGUAUAAUUCUCACCUUAUUUUACUAUAUUGUAUUUAUGCUUUGUUAUCACGUGUGAAAUGGGUUCAUACCUGCUCACCACGCACUCUUGUAUUUAGGCACUUUUAGGUUUAAAUCUAUUCAUAUUUUCCACAUCAUUAUACUUUAUGGUUUCGUCACCUUAUAGGUGUCGGCUAACACAACUCGAUUUGGAGUCCUAAUGGACAUUCCAGGUCGGGGUGUGUCAUGAAAACCAUUCCUGAUCUUUAAUGUUUCUCUCAUCCAAAAAUUUAAAGUACAUAGGCUAAGAGCGUGCAAAUUGGGUCCAAACAAUAUGUCACGUGAUAAAAUAGAUAAUUG